UGAUUGAAGCUUGCUUCAAUUGAUGGCGACCGGCGCACGGGUGAGUAACGCGUAUCCCAUUUUCCGUACACUCAGGGAUAGCCUUUCGAAAGAAAGAUUAAUACCCGAUGGUAUCUUAAGCACGCAUGAGAUUAAGAUUAAAGAUUUAUCGGUAAGCGAUGGGGAUGCGUUCCAUUAGGCAGUUGGCGGGGUAACGGCCCACCAAACCUACGAUGGAUAGGGGUUCUGAGAGGAAGGUCCCCCACAUUGGAACUGAGACACGGUCCAAACUCCUACGGGAGGCAGCAGUGAGGAAUAUUGGUCAAUGGGCGAGAGCCUGAACCAGCCAAGUAGCGUGAAGGAUGACGGCCCUACGGGUUGUAAACUUCUUUUGUGCGGGAAUAAAGGAACCUACGUGUAGGUUUUUGCAUGUACCGUAACGAAUAAGCAUCGGCUAACUCCGUGCCAGCAGCCGCGGUAAUACGGAGGAUGCGAGCGUUAUCCGGAUUUAUUGGGUUUAAAGGGAGCGUAGACGGGUUUUUAAGUCAGCUGUGAAAGUUUGGGGCUCAACCUUAAAAUUGCAGUUGAAACUGGAGACCUUGAGUACGGUUGAGGCAGGCGGAAUUCGUGGUGUAGCGGUGAAAUGCUUAGAUAUCACGAAGAACUCCGAUUG
rnacentral:rRNA from 1 species